UAGCAGCUCUUCCAGUCUGUUCUCUUCUACAGUUCUAGACAGGCACUCAGAGUUUGAGCCCAGGGCCUUUGGAAUGAAGACCAAUCUUCCUAGUCUCCACUGCAGUUCCCACUGCCUCUGUAUCCUCUGCUAAAUCCAGAAUGCUCCCUGGGGCUGGGGCUCCACAUGGCCUUAACCAGGGUUCCAAACUGAAGAGGCAGCGGGAGGACCUGAGGACACUGCAUUUCCCAAACAGUAUCUAUAAAUAGGGAAAUACAAAUCUAAACCACUACAUAAACAUUACCCGGGAACUUCCUCGGUAGAGACGGCAAAGUUGAUCAAACGCUUGGAUUUGCUGUGGGUCCAGAACAGGUUCUGAGGCUGCCUGUAAAUUAGAAAAGAUAAGGUAAACAAAACCCAUGGGUGGCCUCUGCACGUGGCCAAUGCUGAAACAGAAUACGGUCUUCCUUUGUGCUUUUCAGAGGAAACCCACGCCACCAGCAAACAGAUUUUACUGAACAUUGAUUAGAAUUGGGCGCAUCUUUUCCUCCUCAAUAUUUUUACUGUCUUUGGGGGGGAAACGUACUAAGAGCUCAGAGAGAAUGGAAGCAAGAGUACCCUUGAAAUCACUCAUGCCGGCCUAGGGUGGAACUAUGUUACCGCUUCAGCCCCUAUCUGGGUGAAAAGGAUCUCGUUUUCGGUCCAGAGAGCAGCUGUCAGUGAGGAGGCUCACACCUCAUGCGCUUCUGGAAUCCCACAGUUGUGGCCCCAAAGUAACACUUAGUUCUUGUGAUGCUGUCAGUGGUGUGGGGAUGGCUGAAGACAAGGUGGCUCAGUGGAAAUCCUGGGAGGGGCGGUAUGAUCCAAAACAGCCCGAAAGAAAACUGGACCCAUGGAGGCUCUGUUUUUCAUUCUGUUCCAUGUCUCUGAGUCUGCCAGACACACGGAGAGAUCAUUCUCUAAUGAGAACGUUUAAACUUGCGUUGACACUUUUUAUUUAUUUUUAAAGGGGUACCUGGGUGGCUCAGUUGGUUAAGCAACCGACUUUGGUUCAGGUCAUGAUCUCAUGGUUUGUGGGUUCGAGCCCCCACAUAGGGCUCUGUGCUGACAGCUCAGAGCCUGGAGCCUGCUUCAGGUUCAGUGUCUCCAUCUCUCUCUGCGCUUUGCCUGCUUGUGCUCUUUCUCUCUCUCAAAAAUAAAUAAACAGAAAAAAAAAAUGAGAGAGAGAAAGCGUACCUUCAAGUGGGGGAGAGGUAGAGAGAGAGGGAGAGAAACAAUCCCAAGCAGACUUAGCACCAAGCGCAGAGCCUGGCACAGGCUCAAUCUCAUGACAGUCAGAUUAUGACCUGAGUCGAUAUCAAUAGUUGGAUGCUCUUGUAGGAAAAAUAUCGUAUUUUUGGAGAUAAAGUGUGUGGAGUGUUACACUUCUGACAAACACUAGGUAAAAUACGCAGGGGAGAUCCAAGCUAAAGACGAUCUGUAAGUCUAAGAAAGACUAUACACCUAGCUCCAACAAAGCAAAACAAGAAAAAAAUAUAAUUAUCUUUGAGACACUUAACAAUGAAAAACGUGGUUUUGCCACCUGGUUUCCUGAAUCCCUUUAGUAUUACUGGCAUAAACUGGGGAGCAGGGUGGGUUAAGGACAAGGGUGAUACGUGCCUUUUAUUAGCCAUUCAAAACCUCAGCUGGGGGCUUGCCACUGCCACAGUCCAUAUGACAAGGGACCAGCCACCCCCAUUUCACCUGUGCUUAUUCCCUGGUUACUCUGUAAUAAGGUUUAACUAGGAAGGCCCACUCAGAAACAAGUCAGCAGUAGACUGAGGAGGGUGUUGGGAGGUGGGGGUGAUGGUGAGGGGCAAGGCAAGUUAAUUAAAAAGAAGAUUUAAAUGUCAAGUUUGCAUAUGAUCAAGCAGCAAGAGCCAGAAAAGGUCUUCCCUUAUAGAAGUAUUUUUAUAAAACAGUCCUUUGCCUUGAAGGGAUAUUGUAAGGAAAAAAUCUCAUGAAAUGUACUAUCAUACUUGCUACAAAAGUGUGGAUGGUACAGGCCACUUACAGCGAUCCACUGAAAAAAGUCCCAUCAGACUCUGCACUGAGAAGAGCUGUACUGGACCCAGACUUGCUAAUAAUUGUAUUUUCUUUUCUGCUUUUAUCACUAGGGAACGCAGGGCUAAAGAGUCAGCUGCAUAGACUAGCAACUGCUGAGGACUUGGUGGCACACAUUUAUGCUUGAAGAGUGGGAUGGGGAGACGAUGAGAGGAGGGACAGGGCCUCUGGGAUGGGAGCUUGUGCGCUGAAGACCCGUUUAGCUGGUUUGUGACCUGCCUAUGCAGGCUCCUGCCCUAUCACCUCCAGGCCUCAUGAGCGGAAGACCCAUUUCUACGGUUUAACAAGUAUCUCUGGAGUCCCUGCUGCUAUCAGGCCUGAGGCACAAAGAUGAACAAGAAGAGCCUAACGUCCCAGCAUCUGUGGGGCAUGAAAACCCCGCAAAAAGAUUUCACCUUCUCCAGUGCCGAUAAAAUAAUACAUGGUUGUUAUUGUGCCUCAGCAGCCUUUCAAGCUCUGCUUAUUCGCCAGGGCAGGCCUCGUUUGCAACAUGCUCUCACAUCAUCUACGUAAACCAACAGGACGUCCCUGCUAUUGCAACAUUUUUGGGCCCAGAUUACACCCUGGCACAUGAGACAUGGAAGCGUCAGGUUGGCACGCUCUCCGGAACGCCUCCUCCGUGCGCCCCAGUCGUGUCGACCGAUCAGCUUCCACGUGAACCCUGCAGAACCGCUGUGUCACAUUCACGGUGGUGUGAUUCUGUUAGACUGUGAGCUACCUGAACACCGGCGCGGUGUCUUGGUCACUCUUCUGUCCCCCAUGCUCCAUAUCCAGCAAACGCUCAAGAAACCACUGCUGAACAACCACAUACCCUGGUCUAUUUGGAACUGUCCAUUUUAGCUGUCUGAACCCACAGUCGCUUGGCUCUCCUGGUCCAAUGUGAAAUCACUGGCCCUUGUCUUCCUGUUUCAGGAACUCGGGACCUGUAAAGAUUUUUUGUGAUUUCUGGCAUAUCUGCCCUAUAUCUCAGAGAAGACGUCAAUUUCAUUUUAUCUAAUUCGCUUUCGGAGCAAGGAUUAUUUUUAAAAUAUCAAAAAUAUAGGUAUCAACCCUUCUAAGAGGUAGGAAAAUUUACCAAGCAAGUGGGGACUUGUAGUUAAAAGCCUCUUUCUGGUGUUGCCUUAGUACUUCCGAGGGCAGACCUUCCACUUGGUGUGACUGUGGCCUGUGGGGGGGAGACCGGGCCUGCUCCCCAUGUGUGGCUGGUGGUUAAGAGCCUACACACUGAAGCCAUCUGCCUAAGCCCAAACCUGACAUUGCCAGCCACCAGACUACACUCGUAGGCAAGUUACCUGUUCUGAGGUGGUUGGUUUUUUCGUUUUUCUUUUGUAAUGUGGGAUAAGCUAAUAGCUGUGCCACAGAAGGUGGCUGGGAUUGGGAAGUGAUGCAUACAGCACUUGGGAAAUGCCCAGGGAGCUGUAAGUUCUCAUUUGGGGUUAUUUAUUGGACGAGGCACACAAGGGCCCUGCAUGCACCACCACACCCAGAGUCAGUCUAACAUGGGACUCUCUGGUCGUGCACACCUCCUCCUAAUGUGGCCAAUGAAAGGGAAAGAAAGCAGACAUAGAGCGCAGUGCAGUCCAAAGUGGCAAAGGUGGCAAAGGAAGGGGUGUCAAAGAGAGGGAGUGGGGGGGAAAGCUUUACAAAAAGGAGAGCUCUCCAAGGACAGGGCCUCUGUCUUCUCCUGCUUAUGGGCACCCGCACGGAUUUGGCACAGAGCACGUGUGAAAUAAUUGCCUGCGGGUGAGAUGCAGGAAGGGACGGGAAGGGCAAGCAAGCAUUUCUCUUGGUCACAUGCUCACAGGAGCUUUCUCAAGCCCUCUGCGGUGCAGCAGGAACACAGGCACGGACUCUGGCAGACCUGGGCUCCAUCAGGAUUCUGCAACAACUAGCCGAGGGCCUCUGGCCAACUUAUUUAGCUUUUCUCAGUCUCUGUCAUUAUCUGUAAACUCUACAUUGCAGAACUGUUGUGAGGACCGGAAGUAACAUGUGGGCCUGGUGCCUAUUUGAUGUUCAAUAAACGGCAGCGAUUACUGCAACUGUGUCAUCUAUACUCCCAGGAGAAGAGCCUGGGGGAAAGAACAAUGGGCUGGGACUCAGGAGCCCUGAGCUCUAAUUCUGUCACAGCCCCUUACAUAACUUGGGCAGGUCAUGGCACUCCCCCGGGUCUAUAUUCUGAUCAAGAGGUAAGGUCACCAGGGGCCACUCUCUACCACCAGGGAGAGAUUACCAUGAGAAAAUAAGCAUUUAGGGCACAAAGGUUUCAAGUAAGUAAGUAAGUAAGUAAGUAAGUAACAUUUACUGAAAUUACUCAUGGCAAAGGAGGAGUUAAGAUGGUGGAGAAACACGGGGACCCUGGUCUUUCCUUGUCCUUCAAACAGAGCUGUUUUGAGGUCAGACCACUUGAACACCCAGGAAACUGAUCUGCAGAGUGGCAGAAGGAUCUCUACAGUUGGAGGGAGACAGGUGGCAGGUGCACGGUGUGUGGAUACGAAUGGGGGAGAAAAAACAGCGUUGCUGCAGAGCGGAGGGAACUCUUCCGUGGAGAGACAAAAGGGAAAGAAAAAAGAAAAGGGUUGAGAAAGUGCAGCAUUGGAUUCACACAAGAGGAAAACCUCUGUGGACCACAGACUGGGCAGCGAGAAGUACUGAGUGUCCCGGAUCUUUUUUGCAAACAGCGUUUGGAGCUCAAAAUCCAAGGUUUUGGAAGUGCGUGACUUUUUCCAGAAUGGAGCCUUGGCAUGUGCUCCUGGGCAGGAGGGAGCUGGCCUAGACAGCAUAGCAUAGGGUGGUGUAGAGAUCUCUGGGGCACACUGGGAA